GGGAUGCUGCUGUCUAGCUGUUCUUCAGGCUGCAAGUGUGGGAUUUCAUGUCUGAACAAACCAUUUCAGCACCGGCCUGUGAAGAAGAUGAAACUGGUUGAGACUGAGAAAUGUGGUUCGGGGAUUGUAGCUGAUGAAGAUAUCAAACAAGGAGAGUUUGUAAUUGAAUAUGUUGGAGAAGUAAUUGAUGAUAAAACAUGCGAAGAAAGGCUAUGGAACAUGAAGCAUCGUGGGGAGACAAACUUCUAUCUGUGUGAGAUCAAUCGAGAUAUGGUAAUUGAUGC
rnacentral:misc_RNA from 1 species